AACGCGAAGAACCUUACUAGGUCUUGACAUCUCCUGCAUACCAUAGAGAUAUGGGAAGUCCUUCGGGACAGGAAGACAGGUGGUGCAUGGUUGUCGUCAGCUCGUGUCGUGAGAUGUUGGGUUAAGUCCCGCAACGAGCGCAACCCUUACUAUUAGUUGCUACGCAAGAGCACUCUAAUGGGACUGCCGUUGACAAAACGGAGGAAGGUGGGGAUGACGUCAAAUCAUCAUGCCCUUUAUGACCUGGGCUACACACGUAAUACAAUGGCACUUAACAACGGGAAGCAAUACCGCGAGGUGGAGCGAAACCUUAAAAAGUAGUCUCAGUUCGGAUUGCAGGCUGCAACUCGCCUGUAUGAAGUCGGAAUUGCUAGUAAUCGCGGAUCAGCACGCCGCGGUGAAUACGUUCCCGGGCCUUGUACACACCGCACGA
rnacentral:rRNA from 1 species